AAAAAAAAAAUAUAUAAAUACUGUUCAGUUUCUUGCACAGACCGAUCGUUUCGUGUCUUUACACAUCAAUGUAUCGUCACAAGCCACAAGGUUUAAUUUGGUUUUGUUUGUGUGAUUCUCAUUCACCUCCAUUAUAAGACUAACAGACUGCAACGGCUUGAGUUAAAAACUUUCAUUUGUGUUGGAUCUUGGAUGCCCUGGAAGGCUUGGCUUAUAGACAGGACUCUACUCUUCAUUACCAUUCUGUGUUAGAUACAAGAACCUGAAGAGCAACCUACACUACAACUCUGAUGAACCUGGAAUGACCUGCUCAAUAAACAUCUUUUCCCAUAAGCAUUUGUGUAUACACCUGAAUUUUAUCGGUUUUCAUCUGCCAUUCAGUCAUGCUGAAACAGGGUUACGUGUGUAGAUGACAAAACCUUGAAUAUGGACUGUCACUGUCACUUUUUUCCUCACACCACCAAGAACAAAAAAAUGCAGGAAAAGUUGAGACAGUUUUCUUUGGAUGCAGCUCAAACUAAAGCUGUAACACGUAAACUGUAAACAAGACCUCAAGAGGACUUAAAGAUCGAAACAAACUCACAGGUUGCGUAUCGGUGAAUAAAUUAAAGAGAACCGCACAUUAAGUUUUUUUUUAAAUCAACAUUAAGAACUCUACUCAUGUAAAAACCAUCAGAAGCCUCUAGAUGGCAGCAGUAAGCCUCAGACGACGCCAACUGCAGCUCUUCAAUUAUUCUUACAGUGAUACAGGGGGCAGCAGUGAGUCUGACCAACAUCUCUUCACUGGAUGGUUCUAAAACUGUUAUACUGGUGCUAUACUGUUAGGUGUUGAGUUGCUAUAAAAGGGCUAAAAUGAUUUCUCAAGCAAGUAAACUGACAUCCUUGUGGUAGUUACUUAGCAACUUACUUUUUUAUCAGACAAACUAUUUUUAACUUGUGGUAUAUCUGUCUAAUUUAUGCUACAGUAAAAUGUUAGAGUCUCUUCAUGUAAUGUUAACAGUAGACCUUAUUUCACUUGAUAGAAAGUUUUUAUUUAAUUUAUUUUUUUUGUAUAAAACUGCCACUAACCAAGUCUUUAUCUCUUCUUUUGCUUUCCAUUUAACAGUAAUUAUAAAACACUUUAAAUCAUUAAACAACUUUUAUAAUUUACUAUUAUGUCAAACAGCAUGAAUACCUAUUAGCCUACAGUAAAUGAUACAUUUAGAUCAUUGUUUAGUGAAGCGAAAAACUCCAGAUGAUGCUUCGUUUCUCUUUUAUUACAUUGUAAUCUUUGUUUCAAUAAGUGCUGGAAAGAGCGGAGGGAAAAUAGUUCCUGUCUUACACAAUCAUUUGCUAAAAAAGUACAUUUCUUGUGACCUGUCUUCUGAAAUUUCUAAUGUAAAUUUAUUUUCAAGCUAGAUAAAUAAUCAGUAUUAAAGCUGCACUAUGAAUCUUCGGCAUCACUAUCGGCAACUGUGCUUGAAGUAUAAAAUUACAAGUUACAUGCCCAGUGAAUAAAUGAUUUCUUUUUGUUUG
ensembl:lncRNA